GGGUGCGAUCAUACUAGCACUAAAACACCGAAUUCC
rnacentral:rRNA from 1 species